AGUGAACGCUGGCGGUAGGCCUAACACAUGCAAGUCGAACGGCAGCACAGUAAGAGCUUGCUCUUACGGGUGGCGAGUGGCGGACGGGUGAGGAAUACAUCGGAAUUUACUUUUUCGUGGGGGAUAAAGUAGGGAAACUUACGCUAAUACCGCAUACGAACUACGGGUGAAAGCAGGGGCUCUUCGGACCUUGCGCGAUUGAAUGAGCCGAUGUCGGAUUAGCUAGUUGGCGGGGUAAAGGCCCACCAAGGCGACGAUCCGUAGCUGGUCUGAGAGGAUGAUCAGCCACACUGGAACUGAGACACGGUCCAGACUCCUACGGGAGGCAGCAGUGGGGAAUAUUGGACAAUGGGCGCAAGCCUGAUCCAGCCAUACCGCGUGGGUGAAGAAGGCCUUCGGGUUGUAAAGCCCUUUUGUUGGGAAAGAAAAGCAGCAGGUUAAUACCCCGCUGUUCUGACGGUACCCAAAGAAUAAGCACCGGCUAACUUCGUG
rnacentral:rRNA from 1 species